rnacentral:rRNA from 1 species
CCUACGGGAGGCAGCAGUGGGGGAUAUUGCACAAUGGGGGAAACCCUGAUGCAGCGACGCCGCGUGUGGGAAGACGGUCCUCUGGAUUGUAAACCACUGUCCCCAGGGACGAAGAUGACGGUACCUGGGGAGGAAGCUCCGGCUAACUACGUGCCAGCAGCCGCGGUAAUACGUAGGGAGCGAGCGUUGUCCGGAAUUACUGGGUGUAAAGGGAGCGUAGGCGGGACUGCAAGUUGGGUGUCAAAUCUACCGGCUCAACCGGUAGCCGCACUCAAAACUGCAGUUCUUGAGUGAAGUAGAGGCAGGCGGAAUUCCUGGUGUAGCGGUGAAAUGCGUAGAUAUUAGGAGGAACACUAGUGGCGAAGGCGGCCUGAUGGGCUUUUACUGACAUUGAUGCUCGAAAGUGUGGGUAUCAAACAGGAUUAGAUACCCUGGUAGUC